UGUCAAUAAAAAAUUAUCGUGCAUGUAUGCUUUACUUAAAAGUUUGUAUCAAUUUAAAUAUUAUUUGCCCAAAAAUAUCAAAUUAAUGCUUGUGGAGGCUCUUGUUUGGUCACAGAUAGAUUACUGCAAUGUUGUUUUUUACAAUUACCUCACUUUUGAAAUGAAGAACAAAAUUCAGUUAGCUUAAAAUGCCUUUAUGAGAUUUGUUUUCAACAUACAAAAAUUUGAUCACAUUACACCAAUAUAUGUUGACAAUAAAAUACCAAAAUAUGAAAGGAGAGGAGCUUUACAUUUUGAUUAUUUUACAGCAAGACAAGAUUUACAUAGUCACCACCUAAGAAACAUUAAGUAUAAGAUUUCAAAUACCAGUGCAUGGAACUGAAGGUUCUAAAAGCUCAUUUGCCUACCAGGGUGUAUUUUUAUUAAACUCUGAAGUAUACAACUUAAUAGGAUCAUGCUCACUUUUCACUUUCAAGAAGAAAUACAAGGCUUUUCUGUUAAAUUCACAUAGGUGGCAUGGAAGAACACAUUAUGUAAAUGUAACCUUUUAUGUAAUAUUUUGUUGUUGCAUAAUAAACGUUUAUUUAUUUAUUA